rnacentral:rRNA from 1 species
UACCCGCAGCACAAGUGGUGGUCAUUAUUAUUGGGCCCAAAGCGUCCGUAGCUGGCUUGUUAGAUGCCUGGGUAAAUCGAUGCGCUCAACGUAUCGAACUCCGGGUAGACCGGCAAGCUUGGGACCGGGAGAGGCGUGAGCUACUCGGGGGGUAGGGGUAAAAUCCUGUAAUCCUCCGGGGAGGACCAGUGGCGAAGGCGUCACGCUAGAACGGCUCCGACAGUGAGGGACGAAGCCCUGGGGCGCAAACCGG